UUAACGGCCGCAGUUAGUAGCUGUGCUAAGGUAGCGUAGUCAAUUGCCCUUUAAAUGGGGGAGGGUAUGAAUGGUUUGACGUAGGAGAGUCUGUCUCUUUAUUAUGAUAUGAAAUUUUUAUUUUGGUGAAAAGGCCAAAUUUUUAAAAUUAGACGAGAAGACCCUGUCGAGCUUAAUAAGGGAGUGGAAUUUUUUGCUCUAUAAAUUUAGUUGGGGCAACAGGGGGACAAGAUAAGAUUCCCUUGGUUAGGCAGCGAUCCAAAAGUUUUGAGAAGAGGAAAAAGCUACCGCAGGGAUAACAGCGUUCUUCCUUCUGAGAGAACAAAUUGAAGGGAGG
rnacentral:rRNA from 1 species